rnacentral:rRNA from 1 species
UACGAAGGGGGCUAGCGUUGUUCGGAAUUACUGGGCGUAAAGGGCGCGUAGGCGGCCGAUCAAGUCAGAUGUGAAAGUCCUGGGCUUAACCUGGGGACUGCAUUUGAUACUGAUUGGCUUGAAUUCGGGAGAGGAUAGCGGAAUUCCCAGUGUAGAGGUGAAAUUCGUAGAUAUUGGGAAGAACACCGGUGGCGAAGGCGGCUAUCUGGACCGACAUUGACGCUGAGGCGCGAAAGCGUGGGGGAGCAAACAGG